AACGCGAAGAACCUUACCAGCCCUUGACAUCCCGGUCGCGGACACCAGAGAUGGAGUCUUUCAGUUCGGCUGGACCGGAGACAGGUGCUGCAUGGCUGUCGUCAGCUCGUGUCGUGAGAUGUUGGGUUAAGUCCCGCAACGAGCGCAACCCUCGCCCUUAGUUGCCAUCAUUUAGUUGGGCACUCUAAGGGGACUGCCGGUGAUAAGCCGCGAGGAAGGUGGGGAUGACGUCAAGUCCUCAUGGCCCUUACGGGCUGGGCUACACACGUGCUACAAUGGCGGUGACAGUGGGACGCAAUGGAGCAAUCCUGCGCAAAUCUCAAAAAGCCGUCUCAGUUCGGAUUGUGCUCUGCAACUCGACGGCAUGAAGCUGGAAUCGCUAGUAAUGGCGCAUCAGCUACGGCGCCGUGAAUACGUUCCCGGGCCUUGUACACACCGACAUA
rnacentral:rRNA from 1 species